rnacentral:tRNA from 1 species
GGUCGUGUGAUGUAGUGGUCGAAGCAUUUCAGAUUUUGAGGGCACACACCCUCUGUGCACAUCAAAAGAGUUCUGACUACCUGGGUUCGAACCCCAGCACGACCU